rnacentral:rRNA from 1 species
GUGGGGAAUAUUGGACAAUGGGCGAAAGCCUGAUCCAGCCAUGCCGCGUGUGUGAAGAAGGUCUUCGGAUUGUAAAGCACUUUAAGUUGGGAGGAAGGGCAGUAAGUUAAUACCUUGCUGUUUUGACGUUACCGACAGAAUAAGCACCGGCUAACUCUGUGCCAGCAGCCGCGGUAAUACAGAGGGUGCAAGCGUUAAUCGGAAUUACUGGGCGUAAAGCGCGCGUAGGUGGUUCGUUAAGUUGGAUGUGAAAGCCCCGGGCUCAACCUGGGAACUGCAUCCAAAACUGGCGAGCUAGAGUACGGUAGAGGGUGGUGGAAUUUCCUGUGUAGCGGUGAAAUGCGUAGAUAUAGGAAGGAACACCAGUGGCGAAGGCGACCACCUGGACUGAUACUGACACUGAGGUGCGAAAGCGUGGGGAGCAAACAGGAUUAGAUACCCUAGUAGUCC